CCGGCCAAACCUAAGCCCGCUUGCUGACGACUGUGCUAAUUUACACACUGAAUUCUAUGUAAAGAACGUGGAUGUCUAGGCUCCAAAGGGGAAAAAUACCACUUGGGAUAUGAAAUCCCGCCCCUGUGCACACUUCUCCAUUCAGAGCUGGGGUCUCCGGGCUCCUCAGAGGCCAGGGAGUGGACAUUUGUGUCCGCGGGCUCAGCGUGACUUCUCCGUUUGAAGGAGGAAGGCGACGUCCUUGCUGGGUGUGCCGUGUCCCCACACGGCUGCCGCAGCCUGCUUUGUACGCAGCAGGCCCUUCCGGAUGUGGGAGCAAAGCAGACUCUCUCAGGCUUCUGCAUGCUAGUGCAGAGCCCUGCCCAGCCCGCGUGCAGCCAGUGACGGCGUCCGGAGACCAAGAGCUGAAGCGGGUGUGCCGGCACACACUUAUAAUCCUGGUGCUUAGGGAGGCUGAGGCAGGAGGACUGCAAGCUUGAGCCCAGCCUGGACAGCUUAGUGCCUUAGCAAAACCUUGUCUCAUGAUAAAAAGCACAAAGACUUGGGGCUGUAGCCCAGUGGUACAGGACCCCGGCUUCAAUUCCUGGUGCUUUCUAAAGUAAAAUAACAAAAUAAAACCUCGGACGCUUUUACAAAGACAAAAACCAAGCUGACAUGUUUUAUUCACUUCUCACCCGCAUCGUUGGGCGACUCAGCCCUGGACCCGCUGACCGGCCGUGCUGGACCUAACCCGUCAGUGCCAGCUCCCCUCCUCUGUCCCUGGGGGCCUGCCUGGGAGCUGUGUCUCACCACUGAUGGUGGGCUGUUUGCUUUCUAACUCGGACUUCCGAGAGGCAGGCUGACCCCUUCUGGAGAAGCCUCCAUGGGCAGCACCUCUAGGGCUUGGUGGCCGCAGGCAGAGCUCAGGGACUGGCCAUGCUGGCCUCUGUGAAGCGCCCUCUGGGGGCCAGGUGCCAUCCAGGUGUAGCCUCAAGUCAUCUGCAGUUCCUGGGGACCACAGCCCCCAUCCUAGCAGAGCUCUUAACCCUGUGCAUGCCGCCUAGAGGGACAGGGUCCUCCAGGAAGGUCAGGAAGUGGACGGCUUGGGGUCCAGCACCAGGCCUGCAAUUCCCAGUGACUGACGCUCUGGUCGCUCUGCUUCCCAGGUGAGUCUGCAUGAAACAGCAGGGAACUUGUGAGGUCCUUGUCAGGCUGGGGGACCCUACAGACCCGGCGGGCGCGGGUGGACCUUGGUGGGAGCUGCAGGUGGGUGGGCGCCCUGUGUGUCGCCACCCCUCCCCCGGCCCCCGGCCUGCAGCUGGAGGCCCCAGAGCUGCUGCAAUCAAUCAGCAGCCACCAAGGAGCCUGCGCUGCACCACUCCCGGCCGCAACCUUACACCUCUGGCAUCAAAGGAUGGGCCCAGGCCGGAAGGAGGCCGCCCGCCCGUAUCUGCAGGACCCCAUGCAGCCUGCCUGGGACUCAGGAUGGGGCGGUGGCAGGGCGGAGGGGACACACGCCAGGGAGGCUCCAGAGGGCGGGCCCUUUGUGGAGGGAGAUCUGGAGAGGGAGAGUGGUGGCACCAGGACGGAAGAUGGAUGGGUCUGCCGGGCUCCGGGCUCCAGGGCAGGUGUGACUGUCCCUGUGCCAUUUGGUUCCUCUCUUCUGCUGCAGAUAGUGCUGGCUCCUGCUGUCUCCCUAGGCGUCUGCCUGGGUGUCCUUUACUGUCCCCAGCCCUAGAGAGCGCUUACAGCAAAGGCUGCCUGCCCGCAGCCUGGAGGUUCAGCUAUCUGAGGUCCCAUUUCACACAGUCUCCCUUAGCUCUGGCCAUGCAGAGACCUCUCUCCAAGCUGGCUGCUCUGUCCGACUUCCUGUACAGGCGAGCACAGAUGACCUGGACCCAAGCAUCGGGACUCUGAUUUUAGACUGACAGUGCGUAGUUCAUAAUGAAAGAGAAACUCCUGAGAUGCCUGCGCCUGCCCUGUCCCUGGCCACUCAGGUCUGGAGGACCAGUGGACAGCCCUGGUUACUGGGCACAUGCACAGUAAGAUUGGGACCCCUGCUCCCCAUCUCCUCCACACGUGGCUUCUCUUAUUCGGUAAACGCAGAGGGCAGAACGGAAGACCAAACCUAAAAACCCAGAGAGGCCGAGACACGGCCUGGCUGCCUCCUCUGCAGGAGAGCUGACCUUCAUGGGGCUAAGCAGGUGGCUUCCUGGCUCCGUCCCCUGCGUGACCACAGCCCUCAGGGUCAGGCGGUGAUUUUGUGCCCAUUGCUGAUGGCCUGCCCAGAAGCACACAGCUGGAGAGCACCAGGAUGGGCUCAGCAUUGGCCCCGACGUAGAAGUGGGUAGGAGAGUGACAGGGGCUCUCGUGUCCCCCUCACUGAAUUUGCCCCUGGUGACACUGUGCAUGGCUGUGGCAUGACAUAAGACCAUGGCACUGAUGGGAAACUCGUCUCCAGAGCCAGCCUCCGCUCCCCCGGCUUGCUAAUUUCCUCAGGGAGGCGGCACCUGGGUGCCACAUCACGAAUUGCUGUGUGCUCACCCCAGGGUGUCCGUCCCAUAAGGUGGCUGGCUCGGUGGCGGGGCUCAGGGCUGCACCCCCAGCGUCUGAUGUGGGCAGUGCUUCCCCACAGAGCCCACCUUCCUGAGCUCCAGCUGCAGGGCUGCAGUGGGGACGAGGCGACACAAGGUGACAGGUGUCCAGCAUCCUGUCCGGGCCAAGCAAUUAGGUUGAGCUCAGCUCCUGCUGGCUUCUAGUCUUGGCUUCUGCUCUUGGGGUCCCUGGGCUCCCUCUGCCCCUUCGCCGUGGCCUGCGACUUUUCAGUGGUUAAGAAUGUCCCGGCUAACAGGAGAUUGCACAACAAUCUGCAUCACUUAACUUAGAGGCCGGGUUUCUGAGGCUGGUGUAGGUCUGAGCAGGGGCAUGAAGUCCUUGCUAAUUCUGCUGACUUGAAAUAACAAACAGCUUAACACCUCUAUUGUUCUGGGACCUGAUGAAAACCACGCCGCCUGCUGCCGCCGCCCGCUGCUGCUGCUGCGGAAUAGGAAUGGAGGGCUGGGGAGCAGGGCGGCCAGGCCAGGUGCCUGGGCUGUCUGCUGUCGGCACAGGACAUCCCAGCUCCCUGCGCUGGCUGUCAGCGAGACUGUUAGCUCUCUUUCCCUUCUCCUUGCCCCCUCCAAUCACAUGAAAGAUAAAGGUCCUUCUGGGGCUGUCCCGUCUUGACACCUUUCUAGCAAGCCAGGCCCUGGGAGUCAGGCUACAGUGACACUGGAAGCCAAUAACAUGCUUUUGUUUUCCUCGAGUUUAUUUCUGCCCAGCGAGUCUUCUGCCUUUGUAAGGGCCAUCAAAGUUCUCCUGCGUAACACUGAAUUAAAGCAAUCAAAGGGAUCAAGCCAUCGGUGGAUAAUCCCCGGAAAGCAGAUAUCUAUGCCAGGAAUCUGAUGAUUUUGACAGUGUGGGAGUGGCAGGGGUGAUGGAAACUCAGGCCUGGAGACCCCUCGUUGCACAGCGAGUGGAAUGCUUCUGCUGCUUUGCAUAUAAUUUGAGAACAUACACACUUUCAAACUAAAAACCUGGCAUCCUAUCGUGGACACAGGGAGGCAAAAUCCAGACAAACAGAAGGCGAUUGUGCCGGAGGACAGCACCCAGGGCGAGAGCUCCCAGUGGAGGGCUCGGAACCGUUCUUGAAGCCAGCGAUGCUGGGCACUGAGCUGUGCUGAAAUUUCCCUCCAUAAAUAACGGCAGAUGCAAACCCUUCCACGGAAACCGUGUGAACGAGGCUGUUUAUUUCCUUCGGAGGAGAGGACGUGCGUGCCGUGAGCUGCUUGACAGCAGAGUGGGUGCUGGCGCUGAGCAGCUGCCCUGAGCCGUAGCCUCUGCGUCGUCCCUGAAGCAAGCCUGCAGCCCGUGGUCACUCUGCCGCUCGCCUCCCAGCCUCGGGACCACCUGUCCUCUUCCUUGCUGUGGAAAGGCCUGCUCUGGACAUUUUACACAAGCGCAGUUACGUAACGCAGAAUCUUUUUUGUGGCUCCUUCACUUCCCCGGUGUUUGAAAGCCUCCUUCACGCUGUGUGCACCCAGAAUUCCCUUCUGACUCUGCCAUCGUGUGACCCCUCCGGGUCUGUCCAUCCGCCCAGAGUGGGUUCCUGCUGGCUGCUGCCACUGGGCUGCUGGUCCAGGUGGUGCUGGGAAUAUUUGUGUCCACACCUUUGCUGAGUGCUGUUUUCUGUCCUGGGAAUUCGGCGGGAUUUCUGGUUCCUGCUGGGUGCAGUGAUCUGAAGAGGGGCUGGGGUGCAUGGGUCCCACUCCUGCCUGGGAGCAGGGGUGUCCGCUCCUUAGCUGAGAAGCUAUCCUGCCUUCUUCCCCUCCCCUCCCCUCCCCUCCCCUCCCCUCCCCUCCCUUUCCCUCCCCUCCCUUCCCUUCUUUUUUCCUUUCUUCCUAAGUACCAGGUGUUGAACUCAGGGCCUUUGCACUGAGCUACACCUCCAGCCCUUCUGCAUGUUUUUAAAAUUUUGAGACAGCAUCUCACUAAGUUACUGAGUUGCCUGCGCUGGGCCCAAACAAUCAACCCUCCUGCUUCAGCCUCCCAGUGUUGGGAUUACAAGUGGCUUCACUACCCAAGGCACUGCUUCUCCGCCAGCUGACACAGUGUAGAGGCCUGCCAUGCAGCUCCCUGGUCACCAGCUGCCGGGCUGCAGUCCCCUUCCAGCUCGGAGGCCACUGUGCCUGGGGUCUCCUACCUGUUUCCUGACUGGGUGAAUCUCAGCCGAGGGGCUGCCCUGAGCACCAUGCCAGGCAUACGGUGGGCCCCUGGCAAAGCGUAGCUAGAGGUCCCACCCAGAGCACACACAGGGUGCCACGUGGGGCCACCCUGGCCUGAGUCCCCUGCCCCACAGGUUGGUCCACAGCUAACUUAAAGUGUGCCAUUGACACUGUGUGGACUGAGCAGAGCACAGAGUAAUCGAAUAUGCUUCUCAUUCCUAAGCAAAUGCCCCAAAGCGGGGACCUAGGGACUCAGCCGGGUUGGCCCUCUGGGCUGCCUUUUUUGGGGCAGCCCCACCCCACCCGAAGACUGUCCAGGAAGAAGUGGCUGUGGCGGCCACCUCAGUGCACAGGCUGGCUCUGUAUACAUCCCUUCAAGGGCUAAAUAAAUGCAGUAAUUUACUGAGAAAAGGCCUUUCAGGGCCACCUCUGGCUCUGAGGUCUCAGGACUUAUGGGACAAAGCCAGCAUCCAUCUUCCGAAGUGACAUGUUCCUGUCAACAGAGGCCUAAUGGAAACAGCUCCGCGGGAGCAGAGAGGCAGCCUCCUCUUUCCUGGCCCUAAUCUCCUGGGCAGGCGGGACCAGCGAGGGUGGUGGGGUGGGGCCUGGAGGACCCGGACUCAGGACAGGAGGGCUGCGGGGUGGGAGGAAGCCGCUUCCCUCUUCCCAGUUGUCCUGGUCUUGUGGGAUCAGAGCCAGGCGGCCCUUGGAGUCCAGACUCCUGCAAGGCUCCAAAGCUGGGUGCACUUCAAAGCCCGGCAGCCUGGCUGGAAUGCAAGGGGCCCCAGCUGCCAUCAGGCGGGUGGACGGGCUCUCUGAGGACCACAGGCUGGCUCUCCAGAGGUCUGCUGCUCCAAGCAGGGCUCCCAGAGACUGGGGUGAGUCUGCAGUCUCUCCCAUAAAAUGCAAAUGAGAGCCUUUUAACCUCCCAGGGUUGUGAGAUCAAAGGCAGCAAGGAAAGCCAGUGCUCCAUGGAAGGCGUAAAUCAUCCUGUGUAUGUUAAAAAAAAAAAAAAGGGUUAGAUCAGGGUGUCCAGCAAAUGUAAGUCAAGACACUUGCGUCAUUCCCAAUUUUCCAGCAACCAUGUCCCAGAAAGAAGCUGGUAGACAGGUAGUUUUCAAAGUACUUUACCCAACGCAUCCAAAUUAACCUAAAAAGCAGCUGCCUGGUCAGGCAGGUAUUUUACAUUUUCAGCCCAUCUCAGUUGCCUGCUCAGGUGCCACGUGUGGCCAUCUUACAUGCUGUGGUUUGGGGGCGGGACUUCCUGUGCGCAGGAUGUCUGGUGGGCGGGACUUUCUGUGCGCAGGACGUCUGGUGGGCGGGACUUCCUGUUGGGGUUUUUGGGGUGCCAGAGUUGGAACGUGGAGCCGCACGGUCCCCGGCCAGGGUCCUACUAAGGCAUUGGUUGGGCUGCGGGCUCAGCGAGAAGUGCCAGUGUAGCUGCCCUACUGCGUGGCCCUGUGCGAUGAGACGGUGUGUCAGACCAAAGAGCAAUUAUGUAAUUAAUUCCAUCUUUCCUAAUUCCUGCUCUUUAGCAUUUGGGAUAUUUGGAGCAAGGUUAAUUUUAUUUAGUUUUUAUUUUUUUAAAGAGAAAAAAGAAAACACAGAUACAUCAAGAAGCAAACACACCUAAAAACAAACAAAAGCAAAAUGGCAAUGGAAAGCCACAGCUACAUAGAGGCUCUAAAUAAGCCGACAGGGACUUAACGAUGCUUGUCAUACUGCACACUGCUGUCUUCAAAGUAGGUUGCUCAGGCCGCUGGACACAGGCGCAAAGCUAAGCAGUGAAACAGAGCAGCCCAGUGAGUGGACUUCAGCCACAGACAGGAGGAAUCCUGCACAGCUGGCACGGUGUACACUGCAUCCUGCAGGCAGAAGCCAGACCAGCUGACCCUGCAGGCCAGCGCAGUAGAGUGUGAGCUGUUCCUUUCACCCCCGCUGCUAGCACAUCACCCAGAGUCCCCAGAACCCCCAGUUGCUUACUGCGGCCUGGGGCAGGGGUGUAGAUGAUGUGCCUCUGAUUGCCCAGCCUCCUACCCGCUGGCUCACGGGAAGGUGUGCUUUGUCUUCUUGCUGAGUCCCUUACGGACCCGCGUGGCCGAGCCUGCUUCACAGGAAGGCGUCAUGAGGUUAAUCUUACAAUCUAGUUGUUUGUAGGUGAGAAAUUUUAGCAAUAGGGGUGCCCAUGGUGGAGUCACUCAGAGACACAGAUGAACUUGGGACACCAGAGCAGGAGGUGGGGGGAGCCGCUGUGUGGCAGAGAGAUUGUGGGGACCUGGUGACCGGUAACUGACACAGCCUGUGAGGGCGUGUGAGGGGCGGCCAGCCUGCGGGGUGUGCAGGGGAAUUGUGCCCUAAAACGCCAGUCGGGGAGUCCGGGGCUCCAUACCAGUAUCCUAGGAGUGUGGGCAUUUUCUGCCUCUUUUUGUUUAUCUGCAUUUAAAAAUUUUCUCAUAAUAAACAUGUGUUAGUUAAGGAAUUAAAACUUUUAAAAGAUA